AACGAACGCUGGCGGCAGGCUUAACACAUGCAAGUCGAACGCAUCCUUCGGGGUGAGUGGCAGACGGGUGAGUAACGCGUGGGAACGUGCCCCUCAGUUCGGGAUAACCCAGGGAAACUUGGGCUAAUACCGGAUACGUGCGAGAGCAGAAAGAUUUCAUCGCUGAAGGAUCGGCCCGCGUCUGAUUAGCUAGUUGGUGGGGUAAUGGCCCACCAAGGCGACGAUCAGUAGCUGGUCUGAGAGGAUGAUCAGCCACAUUGGGACUGAGACACGGCCCAAACUCCUACGGGAGGCAGCAGUGGGGAAUAUUGGACAAUGGGCGCAAGCCUGAUCCAGCCAUGCCGCGUGAGUGAUGAAGGCCUUAGGGUUGUAAAGCUCUUUCGUCCGGGACGAUAAUGACGGUACCGGAAGAAGAAGCCCCGGCUAACUUCGUGCCAGCCGCCGCAGUAA
rnacentral:rRNA from 1 species